rnacentral:rRNA from 1 species
GAAGAAACGUCCGAACGUUAUUCGGAAUCACUGGGCUUAAAGGGUGCGUAGGCGGCGCGGAAAGUUGGGUGUGAAAUCCCUCGGCUCAACCGAGGAACUGCGCCCAAAACUACCGUGCUCGAGGGAGAUAGAGGUGAGCGGAACUUAGGGUGGAGCGGUGAAAUGCGUUGAUAUCCUAAGGAACACCGGUGGCGAAAGGGGUUCACAGGAUCUCUUCUGACUUUGAGGCACGAAAGCUAGGGUUGCGAACGGG